CCUACGGGUGGCAGCAGUGAGGAAUAUUGGUCAAUGGGCGGAAGCCUGAACCAGCCAAGUCGCGUGAGGGAUUAAGGCCCUGCGGGUCGUAAACCUCUUUUGCCGGGGAGCAGUGGUCCGGACGCGUCCGGACAGGGAGAGUACCCGGAGAAAAAGCAUCGGCUAACUCCGUGCCAGCAGCCGCGGUAAUACGGAGGAUGCGAGCGUUAUCCGGAUUUAUUGGGUUAAAGGGGUGCGUAGGCGGGCAGUCAAGCCGGCGGUAAAAUGUCGGGGCUCAACCCCGGCCUGCCGUAGAAACUGGGUGCCUUGAGUGGGCGAGAAGUAUGCGGAAUGUGUGGUGUAGCGGUGAAAUGCAUAGAUAUCACGCAGAACCCCGAUUGCGAAGGCAGCAUACCGGCGCCCUACUGACGCUGAGGCACGAAAGUGUGGGUAUCGAACAGGAUUAGAUACCCUUGUAGUC
rnacentral:rRNA from 1 species